rnacentral:lncRNA from 1 species
CCAGUGUCCAUGCUGUAAAUUGUUGUAAUUACAGCAAAUGCAAUGUUAUUUCUAUUGCAUAAUUGUCAUUCAUAUGUAAUUAUUAUUUUUCAGAGAGGAGUGACCAAAAUGAACCUCUGGUUUCCUGGGCCACAGGAGUGUGCAAGAAAGUGGUCAGCACAUUUUCUUAUAGUUGGAAGAAUCAGAAGGCCUUGACACAGGAUAAACUGAGCCUGCCCCUCGACAAGCUCUUCAUGGACUCCCCGACAAGGUGGUGAUCUCGACUGCAGAUGAUGGAAAGAGUCUUGGAGCAAAAGGGCAGUAGACAAAAAAACAUGGCACCCUGCAACCUCCUGGCAAGACAUUGAGGUCUUUGAAUCUAUCACGGCAACACUUAAGCCCCUCCAGAAUUUCACAGAUGCCCUGUUAGGAGAGACAUACAGUGAGGGAAAAAAGUAUUUGAUCCCCUGCUGAUUUUGUACGUUUGCCCACUGACAAAGAAAUGAUCAGUCUAUAAUUUUAAUGGUAGGUUUAUUUGAACAGUGAGAGACAGAAUAACAACAAAAAAAUCCAGAAAAACGCAUGUCAAAAAUGUUAUAAAAUGAUUUGCAUUUUAAUGAGGGAAUGUUCUGUGCAGAAUCUGUGUAAGUUGACCUAGAACACAAAUGCACAUCAUGACUUCAACAAAGAAGGCAACUUGGAACGUAACCGAUCCUCCCAUGCGAUCAUCCUCUUUCCAGGCUAGCUAAUGACUAACGUUAGAUGGAUAUACGGAAAUUCUUCAAGAGAGGCAGUGCCAGCAGCUCUGCCGAAGGCCAAUCCGCAGACAAGAAUGAGGGAAAGAAGCUGGAAAGGGCUGAGGGAGCAUGUCUGAUGAAGGGUCAUGCAGAAAGAGAGGCUUCUAUGCAAGGCAGAGAUCAACAUGCGAGCUGUAUAAGUGAGAGAGAGCAAGCAUGCCCAGAGAAAGAGGGACAAGAAACAGAUCCAGAGAGGGAGGGACAACAAACAGAUCCAGAGAGAGAGGGACAACAAACAGAUCCAGACGUGGGAGGGACAACAAACAGAUCCAGAGCGAGAGGAACAGCGAAACAGAUACAGAGCGAGAGGAACAGCGAACAGAUCCAGAGCGAGAGGGACAAGAAACAGAUCCAGAGAGAGAGGGACAACAAACAGAUCCAGACAGGGAGGGAGAACAAACGGAUCCAGAGAGAGGGACAACAAACAGAUCCAGACAGGGAGGGAGAACAAACGGAUCCAGAGAGAGGGACAACAAACAGAUCCAGAGAGGGAGGGACAACAAACAGAUCCAGAGAGGGAGGGAGAGAACAAAGUGAUCCAGACAGGGAGGGACAACAAACAGAUCCAGAGAGGGAGGGACAAGAACCAGAUCCAGACAGGGAGGGAGAACAAACAGAUCCAGACAGGGAGGGACAACAAACAGAUCCAGAGAGGGAGGGACAACAAACAGAUCCAGAGAGGGAGGGAGAGAACAAACUGAUCCAGAGAGGGAGGGAGAGAACAAACUGAUCCAGACAGGGAGGGACAACAAACAGAUCCAGAAAGGGAGGGACAACAAACAGAUCCAGAGAGGGACAAGAACCAGAUCCAGACAGGGAGGGAGAACAAACAGAUCCAGACAGGGAGGGACAACAAACAGAUCCAGUGAAAGAAAGUAAUCAACCCGCUGCAGCAACUCCUUCGAGAAAUGAGAGUGAUUUAGGUGACAAAGACACUGGGCCCAGACAAGUGAAGCUGAAUAGCUACCCACAUUAAAGUUUUGGUACACAGAAAAGGGCAUUUCAGCACUGCUGGUUUGAGAAAUACAAUUGGGUAGGGUACUCUGUCCACAAAAAUGCAGCUUUCUGCUUUCCAUGUAGAGUUUUUGGCAAAAACAUUGAAUUUGAUUAUUUUGUCAGUAAUGGCUGCAAAAUGGGAAAAAAGAUUUGUUUAUCUUCGAAAACAUGAAAUGGCACAAACACACAGACAAUGUUGUGGCAUGGCAAAGCUACCAGGCAACUAGCAGUCAUGAGAACAUUGCUCAGAUUUGAACAUCUGCCCAUGCUAGUAAUAUUGCAGAGAGAAGGGAGUAUCUGAGUAGAAUUGUUGCAGUCACCUCAAUGUUAGGAAGACAGGGACUCUAUCCGUGCCAAUGAUGAAUCUAGUGAAAGCACAAAUAGAGGGAGCUUUCUUGAAUAUAUGGAGCUUUUGAAGGAGUUUGACCCUUUCCUGCAAAGGUACAAUACUCCAUCAAAUGCGACGUAUCUCUUUCCAGAAACUCAG